rnacentral:rRNA from 1 species
UGUAUAAUGGGUCAGCGACUUAUAUUCUGUAGCAAGGUUAACCGAAUAGGGGAGCCGAAGGGAAACCGAGUCUUAACUGGGCGUUAAGUUGCAGGGUAUAGACCCGAAACCCGGUGAUCUAGCCAUGGGCAGGUUGAAGGUUGGGUAACACUAACUGGAGGACCGAACCGACUAAUGUUGAAAAAUUAGCGGAUGACUUGUGGCUGGGGGUGAAAGGCCAAUCAAACCGGGAGAUAGCUGGUUCUCCCCGAAAGCUAUUUAGGUAGCGCCUCGUGAAUUCAUCUCCGGGGGUAGAGCACUGUUUCGGCAAGGGGGUCAUCCCGACUUACCAACCCGAUGCAAACUGCGAAUACCGGAGAAUGUUAUCACGGGAGACACACGGCGGGUGCUAACGUCCGUCGUGAAGAGGGAAACAACCCAGACCGCCAGCUAAGGUCCCAAAGUCAUGGUUAAGUGGGAAACGAUGUGGGAAGGCCCAGACAGCCAGGAUGUUGGCUUAGAAGCAGCCAUCAUUUAAAGAAAGCGUAAUAGCUCACUGGUCGAGUCGGCCUGCGCGGAAGAUGUAACGGGGCUAAACCAUGCACCGAAGCUGCGGCAGCGACGCUUAUGCGUUGUUGGGUAGGGGAGCGUUCUGUAAGCCUGCGAAGGUGUGCUGUGAGGCAUGCUGGAGGUAUCAGAAGUGCGAAUGCUGACAUAAGUAACGAUAAAGCGGGUGAAAAGCCCGCUCGCCGGAAGACCAAGGGUUCCUGUCCAACGUUAAUCGGGGCAGGGUGAGUCGACCCCUAAGGCGAGGCCGAAAGGCGUAGUCGAUGGGAAACAGGUUAAUAUUCCUGUACUUGGUGUUACUGCGAAGGGGGGACGGAGAAGGCUAUGUUGGCCGGGCGACGGUUGUCCCGGUUUAAGCGUGUAGGCUGGUUUUCCAGGCAAAUCCGGAAAAUCAAGGCUGAGGCGUGAUGACGAGGCACUACGGUGCUGAAGCAACAAAUGCCCUGCUUCCAGGAAAAGCCUCUAAGCAUCAGGUAACAUCAAAUCGUACCCCAAACCGACACAGGUGGUCAGGUAGAGAAUACCAAGGCGCUUGAGAGAACUCGGGUGAAGGAACUAGGCAAAAUGGUGCCGUAACUUCGGGAGAAGGCACGCUGAUAUGUAGGUGAAGCGA